AACGAACGCUGGCGGCAGGCCUAACACAUGCAAGUCGAGCGCGCCCUUCGGGGUGAGCGGCGGACGGGUGAGUAACGCGUGGGAACGUGCCCUUUUCUACGGAAUAGCCUCGGGAAACUGAGAGUAAUACCGUAUACGCCCUUUGGGGGAAAGAUUUAUCGGAAAAGGAUCGGCCCGCGUUGGAUUAGGUAGUUGGUGGGGUAAUGGCCUACCAAGCCGACGAUCCAUAGCUGGUUUGAGAGGAUGAUCAGCCACACUGGGACUGAGACACGGCCCAGACUCCUACGGGAGGCAGCAGUGGGGAAUCUUAGACAAUGGGGGCCACCCUGAUCUAGCCAUGCCGCGUGAGUGAUGAAGGCCUUAGGGUUGUAAAGCUCUUUAAGCUGGGAAGAUAAUGACGGUACCAGCAGAAGAAGCCCCGGCUAACUCCGUG
rnacentral:rRNA from 1 species